CGGAGAUUAUACGCAGAGGCGAUUUCGGUCAAUUCAUGUAAAAUCUUAGUGGCGGACGGGUGAGUAACGCGUGGGUAACCUGCCUUACACUGGGGGAUAACACUUAGAAAUAGGUGCUAAUACCGCAUAAGCGCACGAAGCCGCAUGGAUUUGUGUGAAAAACUCCGGUGGUGUAAGAUGGACCCGCGUCUGAUUAGCUUGUUGGCGGGGUAACGGCCCACCAAGGCGACGAUCAGUAGCCGGCCUGAGAGGGUGGACGGCCACAUUGGGACUGAGACACGGCCCAAACUCCUACGGGAGGCAGCAGUGGGGGAUAUUGGACAAUGGGGGGAACCCUGAUCCAGCGACGCCGCGUGAGUGAAGAAGUAUUUCGGUAUGUAAAGCUCUGUCUUCAGGGAAGAAAGAAAUGACGGUACCUGACCAAGAAGCCCCGGCUAACUACGUGCCAGCAGCCGCGGUAAUACGUAGGGGGCAAGCGUUAUCCGGAAUUACUGGGUGUAAAGGGAGCGUAGACGGUUAAGUAAGUCUGGAGUGAAAGGCCGGGGCCCAACCCCGGGACUGCUCCCCCAACCAUUCAACUUGAGUGCAGGAGAGGUAAGCGGAAUUCCUAGUGUAGCGGUGAAAU
rnacentral:rRNA from 1 species